UACGUAGGGGGCAAGCGUUGUCCGGAUUUAUUGGGCGUAAAGAGCGUGUAGGCGGCCGUACAGGUCAGCUGUGAAAACUCGAGGCUCAACCUCGAGACGUCGGUUGAAACCGUACGGCUAGAGUCCGGAAGAGGAGAGUGGAAUUCCCGGUGUAGCGGUGAAAUGCGCAGAUAUCAGGAGGAACACCGAUGGCGAAGGCAGCUCGCUGGGACGGUACUGACGCUGAGGCGCGAAAGCGUGGGGAGCGAACAGG
rnacentral:rRNA from 1 species